rnacentral:rRNA from 1 species
UACAGAGGUCCCAAGCGUUGUUCGGACUCACUGGGCGUAAAGGGUGCGUAGGUGGUGAGGUAAGUCGGAUGUGAAAGCUCGGAGCUCAACUCCGAAAUGGCAUUGGAAACUACCUUGCUCGAGGGUUGGAGGGGGGACUGGAAUUCUCGGUGUAGCAGUGAAAUGCGUAGAUAUCGAGAGGAACACCAGUGGCGAAGGCGAGUCCCUGGACAACUCCUGACACUGAGGCACGAAAGCUAGGGGAGCAAACAGG